rnacentral:rRNA from 1 species
CACGUAGGGGGCGAGCGUUGUCCGGAUUUAUUGGGCGUAAAGAGCUCGUAGGCGGCUCGGUAAGUCGGGUGUGAAAACUCGGGGCUCAACCCCGAGACGCCACUCGAUACUGCUGUGGCUUGAGUCCGGUAGGGGAGCGUGGAAUUCCUGGUGUAGCGGUGAAAUGCGCAGAUAUCAGGAGGAACACCGGUGGCGAAGGCGGCGCUCUGGGCCGGUACUGACGCUGAGGAGCGAAAGCGUGGGGAGCGAACAGG